GACAGAGGAUGCAAGCGUUAUCCGGAAUGAUUGGGCGUAAAGAGCUCGUAGGCGGUUUGUCGCGUCGACUGUGAAAACCUACAGCUUAACUGUGGGCUUGCAGUCGAUACGGGCAGACUUGAGUUCGGUAGGGGAGACUGGAAUUCCUGGUGUAGCGGUGGAAUGCGCAGAUAUCAGGAGGAACACCGAUGGCGAAGGCGGGUCUCUGGGCCGAUACUGACGCUGAGGAGCGAAAGCGUGGGGGAGCGAACAGG
rnacentral:rRNA from 1 species